GACGAACGCUGGCGGCGUGCUUAACACAUGCAAGUCGAGCGGUAAGGCCCCUUCGGGGGUACGACGAGCGGCGAACGGGUGAGUAACACGUGGGUGACCUGCCCUUAGCUCUGGGAUAAGCCUGGGAAACUGGGUCGUAAUACCGGAUAUGACUCCAUAACGCAUGUUGUGGGGUGGAAAGCCUUGUGCGGCUAGGGAUGGGCCCGCGGCCUAUCAGCUUGUUGGUGGGGUGAUGGCCACCAAGGCGACGACGGGUAGCCGGCCUGAGAGGGCGACCGGCCACACUGGGACUGAGACACGGCCCAGACUCCUACGGGAGGCAGCAGUGGGGAAUCUUGCGCAAUGGGCGAAAGCCUGACGCAGCGACGCCGCGUGGGGA
rnacentral:rRNA from 1 species